rnacentral:rRNA from 1 species
UACGAAGGGGGCUAGCGUUGUUCGGAAUUACUGGGCGUAAAGGGCGCGUAGGCGGUGUGUCAAGUCAGGCGGUGAAAGCCCCGGGCUCAACCUGGGAACCGCGCUUGAGACUGGCACGCUCGAGUUCGGGAGAGGAUGGUGGAAUUCCCAGUGUAGAGGUGAAAUUCGUAGAUAUUGGGAAGAACACCGAUGGCGAAGGCAGCCAUCUGGACCGACACUGACGCUGAGGCGGCGAAAGCGUGGGGAGCAAACAGG